CUUGUCGGGGUGCUCUUAAAGAGAGCUGAGAUCGGUUAAUCCGGGUCCCGUUGAACCUGAUCGAGUUAAUACUCGCGUAGGAAACAAGAUAAGU
rnacentral:ncRNA from 1 species